UGUUAUACCCUCUUUGUGCCUUGUGGGAGCAGGUGGAAUGCCACCAGAAAAGCCACUCUGAAAGUGAGUAGGAGUCCGUGGCUAGCCACAGGCGCUCAGAAACCCUGAGCUUGAGGUGUCUCUCUUGCCAAGUGGUGGAAUCCUGGAAUCUAGAGUGGGCUUUGUUAAGAAACAAACAAACAAACAAAAAACAGUUAAGCUUGUCAAAUGGCCUGUUGGUUGGCAGAGCUGUUUCAUUUUCUGGGAGGGGGUUUGGAGGGGAAGGUUCCUUUGAGGCUUUUGACAGCACCAGCUAAGUGGUUUUCUUCUCCUCCUCCUGUUCCUUUUUCUCCAUAUUCUCCUCUUCCUCCUCUAUCUUCAUUUUUUUUUUAACCUAGUGCAAGAUUCUUCUUCGGUACCACUGCCCACAUUCCUGGUUGCUGGAGGGAGCCUGGCCUUCGGAACGCUCCUCUGCGUUGCCAUUGUUCUGAGGUUCAAGAAGACGUGGAAGCUGCGGGCUCUGAAGGAAGGCAAGACAAGCAUACACCCGCCGUACUCUUUGGGGCAGCUGGUCCCGGAGAGGCCUCGACCCACCCCAGUGCUUGUU
rnacentral:sRNA from 1 species